UUUGGGGUCUCACCUCCUAGUAUCUCUGGAGACUGAAGCCCUCUGCCUACAGAGUCGGGAUGGCAUGGCCCAUAGCAGUGCCAGCCUCCCCAGGAUUGCUUUGCCCCCUGCCACCAUGCUCCAGUUCUGAUGUAGAGUUACUGCCUUUAGUGGACAGAUGGAAGUUCAGCUCCUUUGGUCCUAGGCCUCUCUAUCUGGGCUGCCCACAAAGUGGCCUGUUGGGUGCUGGUUUGGGUGGUGUGGGUGCAGCACUCAAUUCCCAUGAGCCACCAGCUGCUAACAGAGGACCAUGGUGGCUUAUCUAGGCUGGAGUCACACUAGCCACCUAGAGGUGAAAGGCUCCAAAUCCAUCACCUUUUCCUGCACAAGGAGACCCCUGAGUCUCUUCAGUUUGAAGGCAGUGUCCAUCCCCUAUUGAUCAGCCCAGGUGCUGGCACCCUGCCCCUGCCAUUCGGAGUGAGGAUAUGGCUCCUCUUUAUGCGGGAGCUGAGAAGCGAUGGUUGCUGCAGCUGCUUUUGUCUUAGUGCAUCACAUCUGCCUUUUGCCUGCAGAGCGAGGUGCUGCUGAGAGCGCAUCUUCAAGCCCAUGUCAUUCCAGGGCAGUUUGAAUGCCAUUCCUGUGGCUAUGCCUUCCGCCACAAGCAUCACUUGCAGCGCCACCAAGCCAGAAUGCAUGGUGUUCUCUCCAGCAGCAUGAAGAAACCAGACAGCCCCGCAGUGGAACAGCUCAGGCGCACACAGCAGGGAGACUCGGGAACAGAGCCCAGCGCACACCCUCUCAGGAGAGCAGGCUGCGAGCCUCCAAAAUACAAGAUCCUCCUGCAGCGUUAGCUGCAGUGUUGGCUUGAGAGGACAGUUUCCCCUGGCCUGGGCGCGAGGCACCAAGUAACUGUUGCUCACGGGGGCUUGGUGCAGAAGUGGGGUUGACAAAUGGAGACUCUUUCCAGCUGCAAAUGUUUCAUCGUUCCACGUAUCAUCUCCAUCCCAGAGGCUAUCAAAGAUUAGAAGCUGAAAAAAUGCACUAGCGAUGAAAUGUUCUCUGAACUCAUGCAGUCCUCCCACGCUGAAAGAUCCCAGCACAGUGCAUGGAGGGAGACAAUGUUAGAGUCCAGGAAAGCACAAAAUGAAUGUGAGGACAGGAGGGAUGAGUGAGAGGAGAGGAAGGACGAGUGAGAGGAGAGGUGGCGUCAGCGUGAUGAGAGGAGGCAGGAUGCAAUGC